rnacentral:rRNA from 1 species
AGUUUGAUCAUGGCUCAGGAUGAACGCUAGCGGGAGGCCUAACACAUGCAAGCCGAGCGGUAGAGAUUCUUCGGAAUCUUGAGAGCGGCGUACGGGUGCGGAACACGUGUGCAACCUACCUUUAUCUGGAGGAUAGCCUUUCGAAAGGAAGAUUAAUACUCCAUAAUAUAUUUGAUGGCAUCAUUAAAUAUUGAAAGCUCCGGCGGAUAGAGAUGGGCACGCGCAAGAUUAGCUAGUUGGUGAGGUAACGGCUCACCAAGGCAAUGAUCUUUAGGGGGCCUGAGAGGGUGAUCCCCACACUGGUACUGAGACACGGACCAGACUCCUACGGGAGGCAGCAGUGAGGAAUAUUGGUCAAUGGGUGCAAGCCUGAACCAGCCAUCCCGCGUGAAGGACGACUGCCCUAUGGGUUGUAAACUUCUUUUGUAUAGGGAUAAACCUACUCUCGUGAGAGUAGCUGAAGGUACUAUGCGAAUAAGCACCGGCUAACUCCGUG